GGGAGGCAGCANUGGGAAUAUUGCACAAUGGCGCAAGCCUGAUGAAGGGACGCCGCGUGAGGGAUGACGGCCUUCGGGUUGUAACCUCUUUCAGUAGGGAAGAAGCGAAAGUGACGGUACCUGCAGAAGAAGCACCGGCUAAUUACGUGCCAGCAGCCGCGGUAAUACGUAGGGUGCGAGCGUUAUCCGGAAUUAUUGGGCGUAAAGAGCUCGUAGGCGGUUUGUCGCGUCUGUCGUGAAAGUCCGGGGCUUAACCCCGGAUCUGCGGUGGGUACGGGCAGACUAGAGUGCAGUAGGGGAGACUGGAAUUCCUGGUGUAGCGGUGGAAUGCGCAGAUAUCAGGAGGAACACCGAUGGCGAAGGCAGGUCUCUGGGCUGUAACUGACGCUGAGGAGCGAAAGCAUGGGGAGCGAACAGGAUUAGAUACCCUGGUAGUCCAUGCCGUAAACGUUGGGCACUAGGUGUGGGGACCAUUCCACGGUUUCCGCGCCGCAGCUAACGCAUUAAGUGCCCCGCCUGGGGAGUACGGCCGCAAGGCUAAAACUCAAAGGAAUUGACGGGGGCCCGCACAAGCGGCGGAGCAUGCGGAUUAAUUCGAUGCAACGCGAAGAACCUUACCAAGGCUUGACAUGUUCUCGAUCGCCGUAGAGAUACGGUUUCCCCUUUGGGGCGGGUUCACAGGUGGUGCAUGGUUGUCGUCAGCUCGUGUCGUGAGAUGUUGGGUUAAGUCCCGCAACGAGCGCAACCCUCGUUCCAUGUUGCCAGCACGUAAUGGUGGGGACUCAUGGGAGACUGCCGGGGUCAACUCGGAGGAAGGUGAGGACGACGUCAAAUCAUCAUGCCCCUUAUGUCUUGGGCUUCACGCAUGCUACAAUGGCCGGUACAAUGGGUUGCGAUACUGUGAGGUGGAGCUAAUCCCAAAAAGCCGGUCUCAGUUCGGAUUGGGGUCUGCAACUCGACCCCAUGAAGUCGGAGUCGCUAGUAAUCGCAGAUCAGCAACGCUGCGGUGAAUACGUUCCCGGGCCUUGUACACACCGCCCGUCAAGUCACGAAAGUCGGUAACACCCGAAGCCGGUGGCCUAACCCUUGUGGGGGGAGCCGUCGAA
rnacentral:rRNA from 1 species